rnacentral:rRNA from 1 species
UCGAGAAUCUUUCACAAUGGGCGAAAGCCUGAUGGAGCGACGCCGCGUGGAGGUUAAGGUCUUCGGAUUGUAAACUCCUGUCAUGUGAGAACAAAGCCCGCAAGGGUGUGAUAGUACCACAAGAGGAAGAGACGGCUAACUCUGUGCCAGCAGCCGCGGUAAUACAGAGGUCUCAAGCGUUGUUCGGAAUUACUGGGCGUAAAGGGUGCGCAGGCCGCGCGGGCAGUCAAUUGUGUAAUUCAGGGGCUCAACCCCUGGACUGCGCUUGAUACUUCCGUGCUAGAGCUUUGGAGAGGAGUCUGGAAUUCUCGGUGUAGCAGUGAAAUGCGUGGAUAUCGAGAAGAACACUUAGGGCGAAGGCAAGACUCUGGACAAAUGCUGACGCUCAUGCACGAAGGCUAGGGUAGCGAACGG